AUACGUAGGGUGCGAGCGUUGUCCGGAAUUACUGGGCGUAAAGAGCUCGUAGGUGGUUUGUCGCGUCGUAUGUGAAAUUCCGGGGCUUAACUCCGGGCGUGCAGUCGAUACGGGCAUAACUUGAGUACUGUAGGGGAGACUGGAAUUCCUGGUGUAGCGGGAAAAUGCUCAGAUAUCAGGAGGAAAACCGGUGGCGAAGGCGGGUCUCUGGGCAGUAACUGACGCUGAGGAGCGAAAGCAUGGGUAGCGAACAGGAUUAGAUACCCUGGUAGUCCAUGCCGUAAACGGUGGGCGCUAGGUGUAGGGGUCUUCCACGACUUCUGUGCCGUAGCUAACGCAUUAAGCGCCCCGCCUGGGGAGUACGGCCGCAAGGCUAAAACUCAAAGGAAUUGACGGGG
rnacentral:rRNA from 1 species